rnacentral:rRNA from 1 species
UACGCAGGGUGCGAGCGUUAAUCGGAAUUACUGGGCGUAAAGCGUGCGCAGGCGGUGAGCUGUGUCCGAUGUGAAAGCCCCGGGCUUAACCUGGGAAUGGCAUUGGAAACUGGCUCGCUGGAGUGUGGCAGAGGGGGGUGGAAUUCCGCGUGUAGCAGUGAAAUGCGUAGAGAUGCGGAGGAACACCGAUGGCGAAGGCAGCCCCCUGGGCUAACACUGACGCUCAGGCACGAAAGCGUGGGGAGCAAACAGG